rnacentral:piRNA from 1 species
UGUGUCACACAUAGCGGGAAGGACUCU